GGCUGGUUGAGGCUGGAAAUGUGGAGGUGGCUCCAUGGUGCACCCAAAUCUUCCGCUUCCCCAGACAGAGGAGCUGAGUUCUCAGUCAUGGCCUGGCCAAGGUCCCCUGGCAGGGUCUCGGCCUGGAUUCAGCCUCCGGUCGGAUGGCAGAGGCCUGGAUAUGGACGUAGCCCCUCUGCUGCACACAAGACUGAGUGGCGGCCCAGCGAGGUGGCUCACGCCUGUAAUCCCAGCACUUUGGGAGGCCAAGGCGGACGGAUCACUUGAGGUCAUGAAUUCGAGACCAGCCUGACCAGCAUGGUGAAACUCCAUCUCUAAUAAAAAUACAAAAAAAUUGGCAAGACAUGGUGGCAGG
rnacentral:lncRNA from 1 species